rnacentral:rRNA from 1 species
UGGGGAAUAUUGGACAAUGGGCGAAAGCCUGAUCCAGCCAUGCCGCGUGUGUGAAGAAGGUCUUCGGAUUGUAAAGCACUUUAAGUUGGGAGGAAGGGCAUUAACCUAAUACGUUAGUGUUUUGACGUUACCGACAGAAUAAGCACCGGCUAACUCUGUGCCAGCAGCCGCGGUAAUACAGAGGGUGCAAGCGUUAAUCGGAAUUACUGGGCGUAAAGCGCGCGUAGGUGGUUUGUUAAGUUGGAUGUGAAAUCCCCGGGCUCAACCUGGGAACUGCAUUCAAAACUGACUGACUAGAGUAUGGUAGAGGGUGGUGGAAUUUCCUGUGUAGCGGUGAAAUGCGUAGAUAUAGGAAGGAACACCAGUGGCGAAGGCGACCACCUGGACUAAUACUGACACUGGGGUGCGAAAGCGUGGGGAGCAAACA